rnacentral:miRNA from 1 species
UAGCAGCACACAAAACUAUC